CACCUGUUUCAGUGUGGAGUUCCUCUGACUGUGUUCUUCUAUGUUUCUAUAGACCGGCCCACAUGUGAGAUCAUGCUGUAGGUGUUGACACAAUUACACUGUUGAUAAAAUGUCUCUGUUGUUCUGCUAUCUGAUGAGGCUUCUUCUUUGAUGCCCUUUUUCUCCUCCUACAAUGAUGAGAAAGCACAUUUGGCUUUUUACCACCUACAGGAAAAGCUUUGAUCUCUUAAAUAUACAUAAAUCAAAGUUUUAAGGGACUGUUGUUUUAAAAACAAGUAGCGGACAUGGAUCAGCUGACUUCACUAAACAAAAACUGAGAAGUAAAGAGAGGAACUGCUGCAUUGCCUUGUGACACUGUCACACAGGACACGUUUUAAUCCAAUCAAUAUGCAUUAUGAUGAUUUUAUGAUUUGAAUGAUGUCUUAGCCAUUUUAUACCUCUUUCCUAGUUUAAUGUGUGUAUGUCUUUAAAUGAGACUGGGCCUGCCUGUCAUGUGAGUGAUCACUGAGCAGAUGACAGGGAAGUGGAAAUGGACAUUAUUGGACCAGAGGGAGAUAAGGAGGCUGCUAUUGAAUCUGCUGCAAGUUGAUGCCUUUGGUGAAGCUUUACAAAGUGAUGGCAGAAGGAAAGGAUCCUAGAUUUUACUAAUACAUCUGCCUAUUUCUAACUGCUACAUGCAGAAAAACAAAUAAAGAAUAAAAACACACACACACACAAAAAAAAAUUGAUAUUGUUUUGAAGGUUGUAUAACUGUUGUUACAUGUAGAUCUAUUUCAUUGCGUUAAUUUCAUUCAUAGUCCGAAAAGUAUGUAAAGCGCUGUCAAUCAAUUAAAAACUAACUAACUACUCAUACAUUUUUUUCUGAAAUUAACCAUGAUUAAUCCCACCUAGCAUUAAAAUUUUAAAUAUACAGUACAUUUAUACUGCAUUAAUUUCACAUUCAAUCUUCAAAUUAAUGUAGAAACAUCAUAAAGAUGGUAAAUCUUUUAUAUUUGUUCAAUGUAAUCUUUUUUUAUGACUGAAGGCAAGUAUCACUGAUACCAGUUCUACUGAUAUCUUUAUGAAUUUUUUUGUCUUAUAUUUAACUAUUGACUAUAGCCUUUCAAAAUUACUGUAUACUGUAAAAUUUAAGUGAACUUUAAACAAUCUUCACAUAAACACA
rnacentral:lncRNA from 1 species